UGCAAGUCGAACGGUAACAGGAAGCAGCUUGCUGCUUUGCUGACGAGUGGCGGACGGGUGAGUAAUGUCUGGGAAACUGCCUGAUGGCGGGGGAUAACUACUGGAAACGGUAGCUAAUACCGCAUAACGUCGCAAGACCAAAGAGGGGGACCUUCGGGCCUCUUGCCAUCGGAUGUGCCCAGAUGGGAUUAGCUAGUAGGUGGGGUAACGGCUCACCUAGGCGACGAUCCCUAGCUGGUCUGAGAGGAUGACCAGCCACACUGGAACUGAGACACGGUCCAGACUCCUACGGGAGGCAGCAGUGGGGAAUAUUGCACAAUGGGCGCAAGCCUGAUGCAGCCAUGCCGCGUGUAUGAAGAAGGCCUUCGGGUUGUAAAGUACUUUCAGCGGGGAGGAAGGCGAUACGGCUAAUAACCGUGUCGAUUGACGUUACCCGCAGAAGAAGCACCGGCUAACUCCGUGCCAGCAGCCGCGGUAAUACGGAGGGUGCAAGCGUUAAUCGGAAUUACUGGGCGUAAAGCGCACGCAGGCGGUCUGUCAAGUCGGAUGUGAAAUCCCUGGGCUCAACCCGGGAACUGCAUUCGAAACUGGCAGGCUAGAGUCUUGUAGAGGGGGGUAGAAUUCCAGGUGUAGCGGUGAAAUGCGUANAGAUCUGGAGGAAUACCGGUGGCGAANGCGGCCCCCUGGACAAAGACUGACGCUCANGUGCGAAAGCGUGGGGAGCAAACAGGAUUANAUACCCUGGUAGUCCACGCCGUAAACGAUGUCNACUUGGANNNUGUGCNCUUGANNNGUGGNUUCCNGAGCUAACGCGUUAAGUCGACCGCCUGGGGAG
rnacentral:rRNA from 1 species